rnacentral:rRNA from 1 species
GAUGAACGCUGGCGGCGUGCCUAAUACAUGCAAGUCGAGCGAACAGAUGAGGAGCUUGCUCCUCUGACGUUAGCGGCGGACGGGUGAGUAACACGUGGAUAACCUACCUAUAAGACUGGGAUAACUUCGGGAAACCGGAGCUAAUACCGGAUAAUAUAUUGAACCGCAUGGUUCAAUAGUGAAAGACGGUUUUGCUGUCACUUAUAGAUGGAUCCGCGCCGCAUUAGCUAGUUGGUAAGGUAACGGCUUACCAAGGCGACGAUGCGUAGCCGACCUGAGAGGGUGAUCGGCCACACUGGAACUGAGACACGGUCCAGACUCCUACGGGAGGCAGCAGUAGGGAAUCUUCCGCAAUGGGCGAAAGCCUGACGGGGCAACGCCGCGUGAGUGAUGAAGGUCUUCGGAUCGUAAAACUCUGUUAUUAGGGAAGAACAAAUGUGUAAGUAACUAUGCACGUCUUGACGGUACCUAAUCAGAAAGCCACGGCUAACUACGU